GCAGUGGUGGUUCACUGGUAGGAUUCUCACCCUCCAUGUGGGAGACCCAGGUUCAAUUCCUGGCCAAUGCA
rnacentral:tRNA from 1 species